rfam:Bacillus galactosidilyticus strain PL133 scaffold000038, whole genome shotgun sequence.
GAUAAAGGAUCCUCGACUAAGUGCCAACACUGCCUGUGUCGAACGACGAAGUCCUCACUUCCAGUGAA